AUUCUAGGGGUUAUAAAAAAAAAUCAAAAUGUAUUUAUAAAGAAACCUUUAAAUAAUAUUUUAAUUAAUAGUCAUAAUUAUGAUUAUUAUUAGAAAUAUCAAACAUUUAAGUGGAUUUUCUGUUACACGUAUUGUCUUAGCCCUGCGAUAACUGGCAGCCUGUCUUUGUCCUGUAUCAGCUGGGAUAGGCUUCAUCCUCCCGCGACCUUGAAUUGGAUACAUGAAUUGUAUUGAAUUGUAUUCCAAUUAUGUAAUCUGAUCAUUUACAAACUCAAGGUAUCCAAUCAAAAUGUAAGUAAUAAUGAUAAAAAUGGGAAAGCAGAAAUAAGUGUGACAUGAAUGUAAAUGUGUGAGCUGACAUAGAGGACAGCUACAUGUAGUCUGAAAAACCUUUGUUGUCAAAUUUGCAGGUAUAUCAGCACGAGACAUUCUUACAUAGAAGAGUCUGUUAAAGUCUCUAACUCAGUGAAGCAUUAUUGGUCCCGUCUGUUUGGAUAAAUAUAGUAAGCUGAUGUAUGUGCAUUUAUUGACACAUUUUCUUAAGUGCUUAUCCAGUUCAGGAUCACAGUGGAGCUGCAGCUGGAUGUGUUCAGUAAAGAAACCUUACAAAAGUUAACAAUAAACCUGCAUUUAUGUACGUUGUUGUCCACAGGAUGAGAAAAUCAAACUGGAAGACUGUGGAACAUGUUAAUAAAUGUUUGUGUUUAUGCCUGUGUCUUUCACAGGAGGCACUGAAAGGUUUCCCUAAUAGUUCCUGAUGAAUCAAAGCAGAACCAUAAAGGUUGCUGGACUACAUGAUGGCCUUACCCCUGAGCAGUCAUCCUGUUAAAGGAGGAACCAGUUAGAAGCUGUUUUCAAAGUAGCUGAGCAGAUUUCAUCUCAACAGACAAAGCCGAUGGCAGAAGAUGUUUGGAGAAGAACUUCAGGCCGUGGACUGAAAAGUAGAUCAAAGCAGCUCGUGCUCUGUCUGCUUCCAUUCUGAUGGCAAGAAGAAGAAGAAGGAGAAGAAUGCUUCAGCGAAGUGGCGUUCAUGGUCUCAGUGGACAGUCAUGGUCACACACUGCAUGUGGUUUUAAAAGCAACAUGUCUGUUCACCACAACAAUGGAGAUGUGUAAUAUCAGUGCAGCUACAGUUUGUUCUUGAACAUCAGUUCUGUUUUCUACUUUGACCACUUAGACCAAAAAAGUGUUGUUUUCAGAUUCUUUCUUUUUAAAUCUAUAAAGCACCUGCUCAUUUUUUAUUACAAUUAGUUUCACAUAAAUGUUAGUGUUUCCUUUAUGAUCUUUUAAUGCUUACACUACACUGUACACGUCUACAUUAGAGACAUUUCUGUUACCUAUGUAUGAGACUGGGCUGCUUGACUACGAUUUGGAAAUGGAUGCAAAAUCACACGGAUCGUGCUAUUGUUUGUUUUUUAAUAUGAUGGACUGAACACAGGACGUGUCUGACUAAGCAAAGAUUAAUCUGAGCCCAUUUCUACCUGUCUCUGCUGUUUCAACUGUAACUGUCAGGAUAUAUAUUUAUUCCAGCUCUCAUAGGGCAAAGGAAUGACUCAGACGUGUCAAAUGUUCUUUGAUUUGAUACACAAUAUGAAGUUCACAAUUUUCUUACAAAUAAAACUAUAAUGACAAACAUGAA